CCCGUUCUAGUGAGAGAGAGUGUGUUACCCUUGCAUUUUGCAACAGCGUCUUUUCCGUCCUGCUUUCACGCGUGAAAAAAUGCCUUGCUGGUGCUGCAAAGUAAUAUGAAUGAAGACCAAAUCCUUAUCCUCCGAGCUGGUGGUGGUGCUGCUGCUGGCGCUGGUGCCCCUGCCAGGCCCGCAAGACCCCCGCCCGCCCUGCCAUAGAGACAGAUCGUCCGUUGUGCGUAAUAUCGUUUCAAAGAAAUGGGUGCCCAUUCUGGCGAGGUAUGGCCUGAAACUGCCUAUCGAGUGCCCUUUCCACCCUUCGAGAGAGGUCUACUGGCCACGCCAAGAGUCCAAAAUCAAACACCGAGCGACGCAAUGGAGCUGCGGUCUGUGCGGCAAAUCGUUCUACUCGGAGAAGUUCCUCGAAAUGCACUUUGAAAAUAGACACUCGGAGCACCUCAACACUGUGAGUGUGGCUGAGGAUUCGGUGUGCCUGGCGGACUAUUGCGACAUAAUGCGGUGCACAGUGUGGGAACAUGGCAUAAAGGGAUCUCCGACCUCCAACACCGACGUGGAGUUGUGGGGUCGCGACCAGGCCAACUCGGCAGCGCUCGUCGUUUCUAAGACCGCUUUGCAACCGGUGCAGCAGCAAAAAGCCAAACGAGGGGAAGUAGUGGUAACACCAACAAGUGCUCCAAAAGCCGGGACGAAUCCUGACUUAAAAGUAAACAGGUCGCAACACCGGCCAGUAACCAACCAGAACUGUAAUAACUCGAGGUCUAAAAGAUCGUCAGACGCCGCAGGUGCCGAUUGUUCUCGAAUAAACACCCAAGACGAGCAGAUCAAACGAUUCAAAGCCGACUGCAGACCUGAUCUGCUGAACGAGUUGAGGGACCAGUGCGAGAAUUUAGUUUGGGACUGCAUAGCAGGUCUACUCGCCAACCUCACCACGGAGGAGUUCAAAAGCAUUGAAGCCGACAUGAACCGAGCGAUCUGCUGGUAUCUCACGUGCGACAGGUAUUGGGAGAACUCGGCAAACGACCGCCGCAAAUUCCCGUGGGCUUUGCUUCUCGUGCUGGUCACUGCCCUGGCUCUAGUAAUUUGUUUCUGCUACUACUUGAUUUGGCUGGUGUGCGACUGGGAAUAUCGGGGGAACAAAGGUUCCUUGUCUGAACCGUCGUCACCGUUGAUGCAGCACCAACAGGGGCCGCUGGGCCACCAGCACCACCACAUGCAUCACCAGCAAGCAAUCCCAAUGCCAUAUCACGGGGACGAGUUCUCGAUGGACGGCGAGCCAUACUAUGUGGCCGAGAACCAAGGCGAGCAUUAUAUCUACGUAACCUAUCCACCUGAGUUAAAGAGGCGCCUCAUGGAGAGGUUAGAGACUACUCACACCACAUGAAAUAUGUCUAUCCAAUUACAGAGCACCCAACCAACCGCACCUCAAUCUGUCUAGCUCUCUCAUUAAGUCCUACAGUCAUGCUGCUACAAUCGUACGUCACGUAUAUGAUUAUGUGUUUGAGGGUGAGGACUGACUGGAUUGAUGACGAGUGAUUGGUGCAGAAAAUUUGCACUUUCACGCGUGUUUUGCACACACAUUAUACUCAGAUUAUUACUGUAGGCGCGGGAUAUGCCGGUAGCACCGCCCAAAGUAAUCAGACUCGAAUAGCUCGCACAAAAUUUCCAAACAAUUGUUUAAGAGAUCACAAACUAUUGGCAAAGAUUCGUCCAAAAUGUGAAACAUGAAAAAUGGCAGCUGCGUUGCUAUGAGAAGUUUAUUCAACAAGGUUUUUGCAACUUUGCCAUUUUCAAGAGCAAUGCACAAGGGCUUUGUGGAAAACAAAGUUAUUUUUAAUGUCGUGAGAAUGAGAAUUAAAAAAAUUACAAAAUACACACAGAAAGUGUGAUUAAUAAAUUUAGCAGGAUUUCAAAUUGAUGCUUCAUUGAAAGUGAAAAGUUAAAUUCUUCUUGGUUCGCACUUUCUGAUCAGUAAAAAAAGUAAAUUUAUCAAUUAUAAAAAAGUUUGAAAGUAUUUUUUUCUACCAAGCGUCAAGUUAAAUCACGCAAUAAAGUUUAUUUAACUCUGCGCAGGCAUGUUAUGUUCAUAGACAAAAUACAAAUCCCAAUUGCAAUCAAUGUCCUUUUUAGCCGUCGUUAGAGCAACGCACUUUUAAAAAAAAACGCGUCAAUUGUAAAUAAAAAUGAAGAUGAAAUAAUUUCUACUGAAAAAAAAAACUAUGAUGAUGAACAACUCUUUUAUGUACUAAAACUAACUGACGAGAGGUUGUGAAUUGAAUUUUUCUAAGCUCGCUUUGAGAUUUUCAGCUUUUCUAUAACUUUGAUCUGUCAAAUCAAAAGUUGGUUUCCUUGUGAAAUAAUAAAAUGUUGUAAUAUAUAAAUUUGCAUUUUCAAAUCGUUGCGUAAUCGAUUGUGAAAGUUUAAAUACUGAAUAUGAAUUCAGACAUGAAAUGUUUGUAAAAAAAAAUGAUACUGCAUACAUUUGAGAAAUACGCAACACUCAACACGUUAAAAAAAUAUUGCCUGUCUCUGAUUUUUUUUUUUUAAUUGUAAAUUUUUAACAUGAAGAAAACGCUGUGUAGAGAGGAUUGCAAAAAAGUUGUAGAAUAAUUCUUGAUAAGACCAACUUCUGUGAGCUAAUAUUUCAAUUCUAUGACAUUUUGCGUAUCGCUGCAACGGUUCACUGAUAAUUUGCAAAAAUAAUGUUUAAGAGGCAAAAAUCACACAUCAAAAAUAA